UAUUAGUGUAAGUUACUCGGUAUUGAUUUUAGGACUGUUCUACAUCUAAUAUAUGAUUGUUUUUCAUCUUUCAGAAUGGACCAGCCGUUCAUUCAUGAGUCCCCCCGGCUUCCGGUCUCCGGUGUUGAGCAGAGUGUCGGUGUGUUACCCUCUCCCUGGCCUGCCUCUCCAUGUCCGCCUCCCCCUGCAGCAUCUCGGCUCGGUCCUCCGCCUCGUACGCUACUUGCUGCAGACUUUGGAUUUUCCUUCUCACCGCGUCUAUGGACGUCAAGGACGCCAUGCUGUGCACACUCUACUCCGCUGCUCCUAGGUGUCACGGUGUUUCCGUGGCAACGGCGUCAGAGGUCGGAAUCGACGCAUGAUACUUCCGGUUACAGUUUCAAAAUAAAGUGAUUAGCCCCUUAUUUUGACAUGAAACCGCAUGCAACGCGAAAAACGGGACCCGGCAGAAAAAGAACAUGAUGAUGGACCCAUGAUCUCAGUAUCCUGGCUAUGACCUUGCCGCGGAGCAGUGGCGGACUCAGGCUGUCUGAGGGGCAGGGGUGAAAAAAACAAAAAGGGCACCAGCUUCGUGGUGGGACAACACGCACAAACUGAACGUUGCACAUUGACUCGUAUUCAUUGGAAAUUCUUGCCUUUUGAGCGUCAACAAAAGCUAGCAUAGACGAUCGGUAUUCUCGAUUGAUCGAUUCAGAAACAAAACCUCCAUGCAGCGUAACUUUGACUAUAGAAUAACAAAGUUCUAUGGGCCCCUUUGGGAUUUUGGGCAGUAUUCGGUAUGCCUGUACAGUAUUCCGUCCCUGCAGAGGGCCCUUCAUCAUGUUUUUUGCACACUGACCCACCAUAGAGGGCAUAUUACCUUGUUUUAUUUACGAAAGGGUCAUUCAGUAGGGCACUUUUGCUGCAUUUUUUUUAACAUGGGGUAACCAGGGAGGUUGACCUUGGCUCAUCAUCAGCAGACGGUCAGAUGUCCCACAUUAACAAUAUAUUAAUAUACUAAUACUGAUAUAUUCAUAUUAUUAUACAGCACCAUUUAUUAUUAAACAGUAUCUCAAAAAAUAAUAGAAUGUGUAUUUAUAUAAGAAAAUGCAGGUGACUGCUGCAAAAAAAAAAAUUCGUGCUGUACCCUGAUUCAUGACAUUUCAGCCAUUACGUAAAGUGCUACAUAACUGACCACAUGGUGGUGCUAUUCAUAAUAUGUUUCAACAUAUUGAGCAUUUCCCAAUGGGGCAUCUUUCUUCCAUGUAUUAUUUCUUUAUUAGGCUAGUAUUUGAGGUAUUGAAGAUUUUAUGCACUCUCCCAUAGAUUGCAAUCCAAUGCAAAUAAUCAUAAAAAAAUAAUAAAAAUAGAUAUUGAUGGUAGAGUAUAGUUUAGUAGUAGUGCAUGCUACAAUCACACUAAAUAUAUAGCACUGAUAUUAACUAGAGAAGAGAUUGUGGUGGGGCUGCUGGCUGCUGACAAACUGACAUGAGCUGUAGUGAGAAAGGGAGAUGACAUUUAAGUGUCUUAAUAAGGAUAAAACAGCUGAGGUCUAGAACCUGUACUACCUUGUACUAAUUGUUACAGUUUAGUGUGUGUUGUGUGGCUGUACAUUAUUGUUAUCACUAAUACCUGUGUUGCGCUGCCUUAAAGCCUUCUGUGACAUCCAGUAUGUGGCAGUGGUUUCACAAUAAUGUCAGUCAACUGGUUUUUACACAUUUUACAUAUAUGCUGAAUCUGUGCUGCUCUGGCUUGGAGGUAGAGCGGGUCGUCCACUAAUCGGAUACAUUGGUGUAUCGGUGUGUGAAUGGGGCGAAUGUGACGUGUAGUGUGAAACGCUUUUUGGUCAGAAGACCAGAAGGGCGGAGGUAGAGUUGAAAAUAGCAUUUACCGGCAAUGUAAAUGCUGAAAUGUUUGUAAGUGACACAUGUUUAUCUGUAAUAAAGCACAUUUAGUAUCA